rnacentral:rRNA from 1 species
AGGAUGAACGCUGGCGGCGUGCCUAAUACAUGCAAGUCGAGCGGUAAGGCCCUUCGGGGUACACGAGCGGCGGACGGCUGAGUUAACACGUAGGAACGUACCCAAACUGAGGGAUAAGCAUCAGAAAUGAUGUCUAAUACCGCAUGUGCUCUUCGGAGUAAAGCUUCGGCGGUUUGGGAACGGCCUGCGCAUGAUUAGCUUGUUGGUGAGGUAAUGGCUCACCAAGGCGACGAUCAUUAGCUGGUCUGAGAGGAUGAUCAGCCAGACUGGGACUGAGACACGGCCCAGACUCCUACGGGAGGCAGCAGUAGGGAAUUUUCCACAAUGGGCGAAAAGCCUGAUGGAGCAACGCCGCGUGCAGGAUGAAGGCCUUAGGGUUGUAAACUGCUUUUAUAUGUGACGAAUAUGACGGUAGCAUAUGAAUAAGGAUCGGCUAACUCCGCGCCAGCAGCCGC